rnacentral:rRNA from 1 species
AUUGAACGCUGGCGGCAGGCCUAACACAUGCAAGUCGAGCGGAUGAAGGGAGCUUGCUCCUGGAUUCAGCGGCGGACGGGUGAGUAAUGCCUAGGAAUCUGCCUGGCAGUGGGGGAUAACGUCCGGAAACGGGCGCUAAUACCGCAUACGUCCUGAGGGAGAAAGUGGGGGAUCUUCGGACCUCACGCUAUCAGAUGAGCCUAGGUCGGAUUAGCUAGUUGGUAGGGUAAAGGCCUACCAAGGCGACGAUCCGUAACUGGUCUGAGAGGAUGAUCAGUCACACUGGAACUGAGACACGGUCCAGACUCCUACGGGAGGCAGCAGUGGGGAAUAUUGGACAAUGGGCGAAAGCCUGAUCCAGCCAUGCCGCGUGUGUGAAGAAGGUCUUCUGAUUGUAAAGCACUUUAAGUUGGGAGGAAGGGCAGUAAGUUAAUACCUUGCUGUUUUGACGUUACCAACAGAAUAAGCACCGGCUAACUUCGUG